UGAGUACGAGAUGCUACGGCAUCGAAGCAGUCUAUGUCAUACUUCCAAGAAAAGCUUGCACUGUCAGAAACAGAUAAUGCCUGUACCAUAACCGACACAGGUGGGUAGGUAGAGUAUACUAAGGGGCGCGAGAUAACUCUCUCUAAGGAACUCGGCAAAAUGACUCCGUAACUUCGGGAGAAGGAGUGCCUUAUUUUUAAGGUUGCAAUAACAAGAUCCAAGCAACUGUUUACCAAAAACACAGGUCUCCGCUAAGUCGUAAGACGAUGUAUGGGGGCUGACGCCUGCCCAGUGCCAGGAGGUUAAAGAAGUCGGUUAGCAUUCGCGAAGCUGGUAACUGAAGCCCUGGUGAACGGCGGCCGUAACAAUAACGGUCCUAAGGUAGCGAAAUUCCUUGUCGGGUAAGUUCCGACCCGCACGGAAGGCGUAAUGAUUUGGAUACUGUCUCGGAGAGGGGCUCGGUGAAAUAGACUUGUCUGUGAAGAUGCGGACUACCUGCACCUGGACAGAAAGACCCUAUGAAGCUUUACUGUAACUUGAAAUUGAAAUUGGACUUUAUUUGCGCAGUAUAGGUGGGAGGCGUUGAAAAUAUUCUUGCGGGAAUAUUGGAGCCAUCAGUGAGAUACCACUCUUGUAAUGUUAGAUUUCUAACUUUAUAUCAUUAUCUGGUUAAAGAACAGUUUCAGGCGGGCAGUUUGACUGGGGCGGUCGCCUCCCAAAUGGUAACGGAGGCGCACAAAGGUUUCCUCUGAACGGGUAGAAAUCGUAUCUAGAGUGUAAAGGCAUAAGGAAGCUUGACUGUGAGACCUACAAGUCGAGCAGGGACGAAAGUCGGUCUUAGUGAUCUGACGGUGCUGAGUGGAAAGGCCGUCACUCAACGGAUAAAAGUUACUCUAAGGAUAACAGGCUGAUCUCCCCCAAGAGUUCACAUCGACGGGGAGGUUUGGCACCUCGAUGUCGGCUCAUCGCAUCCUGGGGCGGUAGUACGUCCCAAGGGUUGGGCUGUUCGCCCAUGAAAGCGGUACGCGAGCUGGGUUCAGAACGUCGUGAGACAGUUCGGUCCAUAUCCGGUGUAGGCGUUAGAAUAUUGAGAGGAGCCUUCUUUAGUACGAGAGGACCGAGAAGGACAUACCUCUGGUGUACCAGUUAUCGUGCCAACGGUAAACGCUGGGUAGCUAUGUAUGGAGUGGAUAACCGCUGAAAGCAUCUAAGUGGGAAGCCCACCUCAAGAUAAGUAUUCUCAUC
rnacentral:rRNA from 1 species